CAGCAGCCGCGGUAAUACGUAGGGUCCGAGCGUUGUCCGGAAUUAUUGGGCGUAAAGGGCUCGUAGGCGGUUUGUUGCGUCGGGAGUGAAAACCCAGGGCUUAACUUUGGGCUUGCUUUCGAUACGGGCAGACUUGAGGCAUUGAGGGGAGAACGGAAUUCCUGGUGUAGCGGUGAAAUGCGCAGAUAUCAGGAGGAACACCGGUGGCGAAGGCGGUUCUCUGGCAAUGUUCUGACGCUGAGGAGCGAAAGUGUGGGGAGCGAACAGGAUUAGAUACCCCAGUAGUCCCUGUCUCUUAUAC
rnacentral:rRNA from 1 species